CCUACGGGAGGCUGCAGUGGGGAAUAUUGGACAAUGGGCGAAAGCCUGAUCCAGCCAUGCCGCGUGUGUGAAGAAGGCCUUCGGGUUGUAAAGCACUUUCAGUGGGGAAGAAAGCCUUGGGGCUAAUACCCUCGAGGAAGGACAUCACCCACAGAAGAAGCACCGGCUAACUCCGUGCCAGCAGCCGCGGUAAUACGGAGGGUGCGAGCGUUAAUCGGAAUUACUGGGCGUAAAGCGCGCGUAGGCGGUCUGAUAAGCCGGUUGUGAAAGCCCCGGGCUCAACCUGGGAACGGCAUCCGGAACUGUCAGGCUAGAGUGCAGGAGAGGAAGGUAGAAUUCCCGGUGUAGCGGUGAAAUGCGUAGAGAUCGGGAGGAAUACCAGUGGCGAAGGCGGCCUUCUGGACUGACACUGACGCUGAGGUGCGAUAGCGUGGGUAGCAAACAGGAUUAGAUACCCUUGUAGUC
rnacentral:rRNA from 1 species